UGUAGUUGUGUCGAACCAAUCUCACAGCACAGAAAAGCACUGAGGUAAUCCCGCGUCGUAGUUUCCACUGCGUUUCGUUGUAAAUAUUGUGUUCAGUUUUACCUUUGUGAGUUGACGUCGCUGUCGGCAUGACGUUACGGAUCGGGGCAAUUCAACCGCAAUAUCACAGCGGGGAAUAUCGUAAAUGGACUUAACACAUUGUACCCACGUUGGGAAUAGAACCCGGGUCCUUCGAGCGGACGCUUUAACCACACGGCUACCCUACCGCCCCUAAUGCUAUCAAUAAGGCGCUAUAGUCUUAUCAAGGAUAUUUACCUAAUACCAUCCUCAAGUCGCUGUCGGCAUGACGUUACGGAGCGAGGCCAUUCAACCGCAAUAUCACAGCGGGGAAUAUCAUAAGUGGGCUGAACACAUUGUACCCACGUUGGGAAUAGAACUCGGGGCCUUCGAGCGAACGCUUUAACCACACGGCUACCCCACCGCCACUAAUGCUAUCAAUAAGGCGCUAUAGUCUUAUCAAGGACCUUUACCUAAUACCAUCCUCAAGCGGCUGGAGGCAGAAAUACAAAGUCAGCAGAGAUGCAAAGGGAACCAUAUGUAACAACGGACGGCAUCGUCGACAGCUUCUCCUACGAUAACCACACUGAUAUGAAGCUCUCGCAGACGUCUGGCGUGUAAGGAACACUUGUCUCUACCUGCGGAGAAGGGCAUUUAGGAUACCGAAUUUCCUUGAAGCAGCCAGUGUCUCGUGCCAGAUAGCCUUCCUUACAGACCCCCAGCGCAUAAAUUAAAUAAAACAAUCACACCAUUCCAUUCCAUUCUCACUCAAUCUCUAGAUUCAGAUCUAGGUUCAUAUUAAGCGACAUUAUGAUUACUUUAAUACUCGUGGAUUCCCUUGUAUAAUCAUUUUUAUUUAACCUCAUUUAUUGGUUAUCCCGGGGACUAUAUUUUCGUCUCAGUGCACGUGGUCACGUGAUACGGCUGGGCGCUGGGAGCUAUCGCAUCAAGACUACAUAACCAGACAAAACAUUUGUGUAACAUUCA